UACGUAGGGUGCGAGCGUUAAUCGGAAUUACUGGGCGUAAAGAGCUCGUAGGUGGUUUGUCGCGUUGUUCGUGAAAACCGGGGGCUUAACCCUCGGCGUGCGGGCGAUACGGGCAGACUGGAGUACUGCAGGGGAGACUGGAAUUCCUGGUGUAGCGGUGGAAUGCGCAGAUAUCAGGAGGAACACCGGUGGCGAAGGCGGGUCUCUGGGCAGUAACUGACGCUGAGGAGCGAAAGCGUGGGGAGCGAACAGG
rnacentral:rRNA from 1 species